GCUGAGAAGCAGAUUUUAAAAGCAGUUUCUCUUCAAAUCAUCUUUCAUACCACCUGAUAAGCAUCUUGAUUCACCAUGGCAUUGGCAGCAGUAAAAUGGGCUAUAUCAAGCAGAACUAUCUUGAAAUAUUUAUUUCCAAUUCAAAAUGGAGCCUUAUAUCGUGCUUGUCAUAAAACUAUGUAUCCUUCUCUUCCAGAUGACUAUAAUUGCAAAGUAGAGCUUGCUUUGACAUCUGAUGGCAGGACAAUAGUAUGCUAUCACCCUUCUGUGGACAUUCCGUAUGAGCACACAAAACCUAUCCCUCGGCCAGAUCCUGUGCAGAAUAAUGAAGAAACACAUGAUCUAGUGCUGAAAACCAGAUUAGAAGAAAAAGGUGAACACUUAGAGCAAGGACCCAUGAUAGAACAACUUAGCAAAAUGUUCUUUACUACUAAGCACCGUUGGUAUCCUCGUGGACAGUAUCAUAGACGUCGUAGGAAACUGAAUCCUCCAAAAGACAGAUGAUAUUGAGGUUUUCAGGAAUCAAAGAGAAAUGUUAUCCUGCGUCUCAUUUGCCAUUUGAGAAAAUACAAUUGGGUAUAUUCACUAAUAUGUUAUAUAGUAAAAUAAUAAAAUGUCUUCUCAUAU